GUCGCGCUGACCUUUGAACACGGGAACCGGUAUCCCCGGUUAAGGUUUGCUUCAGCCGCUCUGCGUCUUCAGUGCGGCGGCUGCCGCGGCAACUUCCACACCAAAUGCGUUAAAAUUCCAUCCGAUACCCUCGUUCAAAUCAAAGCGGGAGACGUCUUUUGAAAAUGCUCCAAAUACCAGAGUAACGUUGAUAAAUCCGUCAUGUCUUCUAUACAGACUGAGGUGAAGAAAUUAUCACGCAAGUACGAUGAAAUCAUUAAAUUUAUCUCAUUCUAUGGGGAUUGUAGAGAAGGGUUGCCAUUCUAACGUAAUGUAAAUGGAAUGUAGCGGUUCUUUCUGAUAAAUUAAAGACAAAAAACAGGGUGUUGCCAAAUUAGAAGAAAAAACAUAAAUUUCUUUUUACACCCCGUAUAUGGGUAAAACGUUGACAAUUGUCAGAAACCAUCAACACAUUUCUUCCUUAAAAAUCAACCUAUAUCGUGAAGAAAGAAUCAUUAAAAUCCAUCCGUUGAUUCAAAAAAAAACCUUUAAACUUAAUGCAUAAUUUAGGUGGUGCGAUAAUUUUGGAGAGUAGUGUAUUUAAGAAAUAUAUACUUAAAUUUAUUUAAUUUCUUUACCUAAGAAUAUUUUUUACUUUGGAAUUUUUGUACUAGAGAGAAGAAAAUGUUAUCUGUAAAUGAUCAAUUUGCGUUUUGUAGAUGCAAAAACAACCAACAUUUUGGGAAAACACGCAAAAAAAUUUAAAAAUUUUUUUAUUCCAAAUGUGUAUUACCUGAAUUAGUACAUCCUAGGUUUUCCAGGCCUCCACCUCAUAAUAUAAUUCGGAAUACCGAUCGAAGAGAUUCACUUUAAAAGUGAAGAAAGAUAAAUAAGAUAGUUGAAAACUUUUUAUUGACAAAGCUGCAAUUAUUGUUGCGCAAACUCCUUGAAGACAUGAUAUCUUUGAGUCCUAGAUCAAAAAGUGGACUCCUUAUUAAGUAGACAAAUAAAAUUAUCAAAAAUUUUGUUCCUAGACCCAAGGGGAAUACAAUAAAAUUGUACAUACUUAUAUUACAAUACAUUGUUUCUUUUCUACUUUGAUAAAUAAAUAUCUUUACAAAACA